rnacentral:rRNA from 1 species
UACGUAGGUGGCAAGCGUUGUCCGGAUUUAUUGGGUUUAAAGGGUGCGUAGGCGGUCUUCUAAGUCAGUUGUGAAAUACUUCAGCUUAACUGGAGAGGUGCAAUUGAUACUGGAAGACUUGAGUACUGAUGAGGUAGGCGGAAUGGACGGUGUAGCGGUGAAAUGCGCAGAUAUCAGGAGGAACACCGGUGGCGAAGGCGGGUCUCUGGGCCGAUACUGACGCUGAGGAGCGAAAGCGUGGGGAGCGAACAGG